rnacentral:rRNA from 1 species
UACGUAGGGUGCGAGCGUUAAUCGGAAUUACUGGGCGUAAAGCGUGCGCAGGCGGUUUGCUAAGACCGAUGUGAAAUCCCCGGGCUUAACCUGGGAACUGCAUUGGUGACUGGCAAGCUAGAGUGUGGCAGAGGGGGGUAGAAUUCUACGUGUAGCAGUGAAAUGCGUAGAGAUGUGGAGGAAUACCGAUGGCGAAGGCAGCCCCCUGGGCCAACACUGACGCUCAUGCACGAAAGCGUGGGGAGCAAACAGG